UCCAGAAAUGAGACACAGAGAUCACGUGCCCAGCUCCUACUGUAUAGCAGUGACUAUUAAAGGCUGGCUCUCUAGGCUUCACAUCUUCUUUGGGACCGAAGCAGACAAGGGGACACUGCCUAUGUUCUGUAACAGAGGGCUCACAAGAUUUAUAAACAUAAAGGAUGUAAUUCUAAAGUGGCACAACUUCUCCAGAAAAGAGACACAGAGAACACGUGCCCAGCUCCUACUGUGUAGCAGUGACUAUUAAAGGCUGGCUCUCUAGGCUUCACAUCUUCUUUGGGACCGAAGCAGACAAGGGGACACUGCCUAUGUUCUGUAACAGGUCAGUUAUGCUCAAUAUCAAACUUUGGUUCACAGAAUUAAUGGUGGAAGUUGUAGCUACCUUUAUCCUGGGUAAGAUAAGAAGUUAUGUUCCUGCAUUGUUUGUGACAUGGCCGGACAACCAAUGGAAAUUCCUGGGUUGUUUCAAAAAGAUGUGCCAGUUUAUGGUGAAGAAGACCCUUAUUUAUGUCCUGAGUUCUCUUGCGUCCAUUAUACACAAUCUAAUUGUUGGAGAAGUCUUCAUCAAUAAGCUAUAUUACUUUCUACACAAAAAGAUGGUUUCUGAACCCACAGCUGUGGUUGUCGUUUAGCUACUCUUACACCUACUCACCCUGCAGUCGUUGGGGGGAUACUUGGCACCCGGAGGAGAGCAAAGGACUUUCCUCGCUUAUCUACUGCCACUGGAGGCUUGUGUGCAUGCUCGGCUCUCUCCCCGAGCCUGGCCCAUUCUAUCCUCUCACAAAGAACAUAAUAACAUAAGAACAUUUAAAUAAAUAAAUAAAUAAAUAAUAAAUAAAUAAAUAAAAUCUCAAUUUUUUAGAAGAGGAUAUACGUAAAAAUGUGGCCAGAGGUUUUGUUUGUCUUUUUUUUGUUUUGUUUUUUGUUUGUUGUUUUUUGUUUUUUGUGGCCAGAGGUUUUGAAACCUGUCACAAACUAUUGUCACAAAAAAUACCUACGUUCACCCAGGAUAUGUGUAAGAAAGAGGUUGGGUUUUCGAAGCCUUUCACAAAAUCUUGUCACAAAAGAAAUGUGUAUGUUAGACCAGGAUACAUGUAUAAAAGAGGAUAUGGUUUUUGAAAGCGUGUCACACACAAAAGUUGUCACAAAAAAUAACUAGGUUCAGCCAGGAGACGUGUAAAACACAGGACAAGGUUUUGAAGUCUUUUUCACAAAAUAGUAUUAAAAAAUACCUAUGUUCAGCCAAGAUAUGUGGAAAAAAGAGGACAGGGUUUUUUGAAACUUUUCACAAAAUAUUGUCACAAAAGAUACCUAUAUUUAGCCAGCAUAUGUGUAGAAAAGAAGACGGGGUUUUUGUUUUUUUUUUUUUGAAGCUUUUCACAAAAUAUUGGAACAAAAAGUACCUCUGUAUCACUAUGAUAUGUAUAAAAAUGACAAGGUUAUCUGAAGAUUCUCACAAAAUAUGGCACUAUAAAUCCUGUAUUUGGCGACCUUAUGUCUGUGAUAAAGAACAGGGUUUUUUGAACUUUUUCACAAAAUAUUGAAACUGAAAGUACCUACAUUUUGCCACAAUAUGUAUAAACAAGAGGAGAAGGGGUUUUUUUCAACCCUCUCACAAGAAGCAAUGUUAGGAGGCAUGAGGGGAAAAAAAAAAACAAUGGCUUUCGUUGAGAUAAAAAACAACCGAUUGAGAUGUUUGAGAUAAAAAAACACCCGAUUGAGAUGUUUGAGAUAAAAAACAUCGGAUUAAAAAAAAUCCGAAUGAGGUGUUUCAGAUAAAAAACAUCCAAUUUCAAAAAAAAAAUCCAAUUUCAAACUUUAUGGGGUUAUUUUUAUUGAUGGAGGAUUUUCCUUACAUUUGUGGAGCCUAUAAAAAGGCCACAGGGUCAUUGACUCAAAUCAUAAGCAAAUUAUUAGUAGUCAUAUAAAUUUACCAACAAAUUGAUUUGUACUAUUUUGGGACCUAUUUCAACCUAUUUUCAGAGGGCUCACAAGAUUUAUAAACAUAAAGGAUGUAAUUCUAAAGUGGCACAACUUCUCCAGAAAUGAGACACAGAGAUCACGUGCCCAGCUCCUACUGUGUAGCAGUGACUAUUAAAGGCUGGCUCUCUAGGCUUCACAUCUUCUUUGGGACCGAAGCAGACAAGGGGACACUGCCUAUGUUCUGUAACAGAGGGCUCACAAGAUUUAUAAACAUAAAGGAUGUAAUUCUAAAGUGGCACAACUUCUCCAGAAAUGAGACACAGAGAUCACGUGCCCAGCUCCUACUGUGUAGCAGUGACUAUUAAAGGCUGGCUCUCUAGGCUUCACAUCUUCUUUGGGACCGAAGCAGACAAGGGGACACUGCCUAUGUUCUGUAACAGAGGGCUCACAAGAUUUAUAAACAUAAAGGAUGUAAUUCUAAAGUGGCACAACUUCUCCAGAAAUGAGACACAGAGAUCACGUGCCCAGCUCCUACUGUGUAGCAGUGACUAUUAAAGGCUGGCUCUCUAGGCUUCACAUCUUCUUUGGGACCGAAGCAGACAAGGGGACACUGCCUAUGUUCUGUAACAGAGGGCUCACAAGAUUUAUAAACAUAAAGGAUGUAAUUCUAAAGUGGCACAACUUCUCCAGAAAUGAGACACAGAGAUCACGUGCCCAGCUCCUACUGUGUAGCAGUGACUAUUAAAGGCUGGCUCUCUAGGCUUCACAUCUUCUUUGGGACCGAAGCAGACAAGGGGACACUGCCUAUGUUCUGUAACAGAGGGCUCACAAGAUUUAUAAACAUAAAGGAUGUAAUUCUAAAGUGGCACAACUUCUCCAGAAAUGAGACACAGAGAUCACGUGCCCAGCUCCUACUGUGUAGCAGUGACUAUUAAAGGCUGGCUCUCUAGGCUUCACAUCUUCUUUGGGACCGAAGCAGACAAGGGGACACUGCCUAUGUUCUGUAACAGAGGGCUCACAAGAUUUAUAAACAUAAAGGAUGUAAUUCUAAAGUGGCACAACUUCUCCAGAAAUGAGACACAGAGAUCACGUGCCCAGCUCCUACUGUGUAGCAGUGACUAUUAAAGGCUGGCUCUCUAGGCUUCACAUCUUCUUUGGGACCGAAGCAGACAAGGGGACACUGCCUAUGUUCUGUAACAGAGGGCUCACAAGAUUUAUAAACAUAAAGGAUGUAAUUCUAAAGUGGCACAACUUCUCCAGAAAUGAGACACAGAGAUCACGUGCCCAGCUCCUACUGUGUAGCAGUGACUAUUAAAGGCUGGCUCUCUAGGCUUCACAUCUUCUUUGGGACCGAAGCAGACAAGGGGACACUGCCUAUGUUCUGUAACAGAGGGCUCACAAGAUUUAUAAACAUAAAGGAUGUAAUUCUAAAGUGGCACAACUUCUCCAGAAAUGAGACACAGAGAUCACGUGCCCAGCUCCUACUGUGUAGCAGUGACUAUUAAAGGCUGGCUCUCUAGGCUUCACAUCUUCUUUGGGACCGAAGCAGACAAGGGGACACUGCCUAUGUUCUGUAACAGAGGGCUCACAAGAUUUAUAAACAUAAAGGAUGUAAUUCUAAAGUGGCACAACUUCUCCAGAAAUGAGACACAGAGAUCACGUGCCCAGCUCCUACUGUGUAGCAGUGACUAUUAAAGGCUGGCUCUCUAGGCUUCACAUCUUCUUUGGGACCGAAGCAGACAAGGGGACACUGCCUAUGUUCUGUAACAGAAUUAAUGGUGGAAGUUGUAGCUACCUUUAUCCUGGGUAAGAUAAGAAGUUAUGUUCCUGCAUUGUUUGUGACAUGGCCGGACAACCAAUGGAAAUUCCUGGGUUGUUUCAAAAAGAUGUGCCAGUUUAUGGUGAAGAAGACCCUUAUUUAUGUCCUGAGUUCUCUUGCGUCCAUUAUACACAAUCUAAUUGUUGGAGAAGUCUUCAUCAAUAAGCUAUAUUACUUUCUACACAAAAAGAUGGUUUCUGAACCCACAGCUGUGGUUGUCGUUUAGCUACUCUUACACCUACUCACCCUGCAGUCGUUGGAGGGAUACUUGGCACCCGGAGGAGAGCAAAGGACUUUCCUCGCUUAUCUACUGCCACUGGAGGCUUGUGUGCAUGCUCGGCUCUCUCCCCGAGCCUGGCCCAUUCUAUCCUCUCACAAAGAACAUAAUAACAUAAGAACAUUUAAAUAAAUAAAUAAAUAAUAAAUAAAUAAAUAAAAUCUCAAUUUUUUAGAAGAGGAUAUACGUAAAAAUGUGGCCAGAGGUUUUGUUUGUCUUUUUUUUGUUUUGUUUUUUUGUUUGUUGUUUUUUGUUUUUUGUGGCCAGAGGUUUUGAAACCUGUCACAAACUAUUGUCACAAAAAAUACCUACGUUCACCCAGGAUAUGUGUAAGAAAGAGGUUGGGUUUUCGAAGCCUUUCACAAAAUCUUGUCACAAAAGAAAUGUGUAUGUUAGACCAGGAUACAUGUAUAAAAGAGGAUAUGGUUUUUGAAAGCGUGUCACACACAAAAGUUGUCACAAAAAAUAACUAGGUUCAGCCAGGAGACGUGUAAAACACAGGACAAGGUUUUGAAGUCUUUUUCACAAAAUAGUAUUAAAAAAUUCCUAUGUUCAGCCAAGAUAUGUGGAAAAAAGAGGACAGGGUUUUUUGAAACUUUUCACAAAAUAUUGUCACAAAAGAUACCUAUAUUUAGCCAGCAUAUGUGUAGAAAAGAAGACGGGGUUUUUGUUUUUUUUUUUUUUGAAGCUUUUCACAAAAUAUUGGAACAAAAAGUACCUCUGUAUCACUAUGAUAUGUAUAAAAAUGACAAGGUUAUCUGAAGCUUCUCACAAAAUAUUGUCAAUAUAAAUCCUGUAUUUGGCGACCUUAUGUCUGUGAUAAAGAACAGGGUUUUUUGAAGUUUUUCACAAAAUAUUGAAACUGAAAGUACCUACAUUUUGCCACAAUAUGUAUAAACAAGAGGAGAAGGGGUUUUUUUCAACCCUCUCACAAGAAGCAAUGUUAGGAGGCAUGAGGGGAAAAAAAAAAACAAUGGCUUUCGUUGAGAUAAAAAACAUCCGAUUGACAUGUUUGAGAUAAAAAAACACCCGAUUGAGAUGUUUGAGAUAAAAAACAUCGGAUUAAAAAAAAUCUGAUUGAGAUGUUUGAGAUAAAAAACAUCCAAUUUCAAAAAAAAAAUCCAAUUUCAAACUUUAUGGGGUUAUUUUUAUUGAUGGAGGAUUUUCCUUACAUUUGUGGAGCCUAUAAAAAGGCCACAGGGUCAUUGACUCAAAUCAUAAGCAAAUUAUUAGCAGUCAUAUAAAUUUACCAACAAAUUGAUUUGUACU